UCGCCAGUGGUCACCUGUCCCACUCCGACACGACGUCGAGUGUACAAGUCACAGCUGCGGCAGAAGCGGACCGUCUAAAUGAUAUCCUGCUCACUCAAACAGUAGUCAUCUCGCUCCCACAGCGUUAACCGCCCGUCCCGCUCUAGCAACAGCGUCAUCUAGUGUACAGGUAGCAUAUAGUUCGUUUCCUAGUACAGUCAGCAGCAAUAAUUGCUAAGCGUGCGAGGUGUUCAAAAUGAUCAUGACGCGACUUUAUUGUUAAGAAAAUAAGAGCGCGUCAAGGUAAUUUUGAUCACUUCGCCCGCUUAGCAACUUCUGCUGCUGACUGUACAUACUUGGACUCCAGUAGUACACUUGCGUUAAGCUAUUGUAGCGAAUGUUAUAAAGACUGACACAGUUAAUUGACCAUACGCAGACUUCGUUGCAAUAAAGUUUACGAAUGGAUUUUUAAUUGUGUUAGUGCUAUGAAUACAAAUGCGACCUGUUUCUUAGUAACAGACUUCUUAUCUUUACUAGUAUCCUUGCCGUAAUAUAUAUUGUCUUUCCGGAUAUAAGAUACGUAACCAGAGCCAUACCUUAAAAAAACACAACGGUACAGCGGCGCUUAUAGGCCUAAUCAAGGUCUGUAAUUUGUCUACAGUAGUCGAUUCUAUCAAUGGACGAAUAUUUGCCCUUACACGACUCGACUGUAAACUGUAAUAAGUUAUUUAGUAACAAAAUAAUACAUUGUAGACGAAUUAAGGCUCUCACUAUUAAAAAAAUGGCCUUAAAAGCUGAUCAGAAGUGCCUGAUGCAAUUCUGUAUAUAAUUACAUUUAUAUGUAUUGUAUAUUGGUGCGAAGAAGUGGUGCUAGUGCUAGUCCGUCACCACAAUAAAUUCGUAUCAUUUAAGUGUUCUUACACUUAUGCUUUAGAGUAUAAGUAAUUUAAUAUGUAGACUGAUUAGUUAUCGUAAUUGGCGAUUACUUAUCGAUAAUUUUUGAUUGAAUAUUUGGACUGUACAUAUUAAAUGAAACUUCCUGCCUCGCAAAAAACUGUGGAACGAACUCUCGCGCGGUAGAUCCUCUGGGGCCUACCGCGAAACACGUUCGACGUGUUGCCUCUAUGUCGCGCUUGUAAAUUCUUACGUACGACCUUCAAGAAAAAAGCGCACUCCUAUCUUAAAUGCCGGUAACACACUUGCAAUACCUCUGGUGUUGCAGGUGUCCAUGGGCAACGGUAAUUACUUACCAUCGAGCAAAUCAAAAAAAAAUCACAACUUGAAGUAUUUCUAAUUUCGAAGAGAUGACUAUAAUAUGCAAUAAACAUACUCUUGUAUUUUUGGAGCUGUCUCGAAUACAAUCGGUCUGACAAUAAGAGCAAAAUGUUUGAAAUCAAACAAUAAAUUGAAAUUCGUUGCCUCGGACGAGACUCUAACUUAAACGAUUUUUUUUGUACAUUUGGUACGUUUAUAUUUAUUUGACGGUUAUUUUAUAAUCCCUUCGUACUUAUUUAUUGCUUGUGGUAUUAUUUACACAAAACUAUUCAAUUUCGGAGUGCUAAAAUAUUACCGUAUAAUCUUUACUAGUUUUCUUAGCAUGUAUUCUAGAAAUUAUAGGCCUAUCAUAUUCAUAUUAUUAAUAUUUGACAAGAGGCGUUUUGCCUUGAAACUAACAAAAUGAUGGCAUUAUAAAAGUAGAUAUCGUGUUAGGGUAUUAUACCUUAACUAUUGUUAAACCAUAAUAAGUUGGGCUUGCGCGCCAAGGAUUGGUGCACCAAGGUUACCGUCAUCAUUGGCCUAAAGUCUAUUGCAGACUAUAGAAACAGUACUAGACAGCAACGUUUUUCAGAGCUGUGUAAGCCAAUACGGGAGCGGCCAACGCCCACAAGUGGCAGGUCUAAUAUGCCCGUGGCGAACAGAUGUCGCUCUGAUGACGCUUGGCUCGCUUCCUUGCGAGUGUCUUAAACCAGGCGUCAUCGUGAAUUUUACGCCCGUCUAACACCAGUUUCCGCCACUUAUCUCUUUCCUCGGUAAGCUCCUCUCAUUUAUGAAUCGGUUCAUCCCUACUAUACGUAUACAUGGUAUAAUUUUUACCUUCGGACAUUUAACUAUUAUUACUAACGUAUAGAACCGGCACAGAGAAUAUUUUGCGCCACGAGUUGAAGUAGUUUUGACAUCAAACCAGAGAAGCGGGGCGUAAAUCUCGCGACCUUAACGCGUAAGCGCCAUGGAUUUUACGGCGCUUACGACGUUUUGGUCGCGUGGCGCAGGUUGUGAUUGCGACAAUUUCAUUGUUUGGUAUGGCUUCUGCAUAGUAAUAAUAACUCAAUGCCUUACUAACCUUUUUAUUCUUAAGUAGAAGUAAAGUUCUGAGUUAAACAGGGCUUAAAAUUAUAAUACCUUCGAUCGUUCGUUCGUCUAUCGAUUAUAUUUGCCUCUAUCGCUCGAAUGUGCAAGAGCGAACCUCGUCGGGCCAGUCAUUUCUUAAUAGGCGGUAACUCGUAAAGUUGUUACAGAUGUAUCAAUCAAGAAGUCUUGUGAAAGUUAGCUGCCGCUCCGUUGUCGGCAGUUGAAUACCAGCCACCCAAAUAACCCAAAUUCUCAAAACAAGUUGAAUAUGCUGGUAGAACACGUCAACUGGUGAUGGUCAGGUAUUUAUGUCAGGCCAUGCGACUAUUUUGAAGUAAUAACAUACCUACCUAAAUAUCCGGUAUUCCAGAUAUAAAUUGAUUUUGCCAAACACGCCACGGUUCGUUGGUUACGUUGUAAGGAUAAACCCAGUAGGCUACAAUCUCACAAAUUGAUAAGAUUACAGUUUAAUUUACAUGUUGAUACACCGUAUUUGGAUUUUCCGAUGAUUACAUACUUAAUAUUUCCCCACAAAACAUGUUUGUCUUAGGUAAUUAGUAGAAAAUAAUUUAAAAGCCUAAUCUUGGCGAUUUCAUUUUUAAUCUACAUGAGACAGUUUAAUAUCAUGCUUAACUUUAUCAAAAUAAUUAAUCAUUAAUCAUGUACAACUAAAUAGAUUACGUGACGUAGUUUCCAAUACUUCGUCGCAUUUUAAUCAGUACAAAGCUUCCAACAUUAGCUCGUUAAAACAUAUGAAUAUGACCCACAGUCGGUCGUUUAAUAAAAUUGUAAAUAAUAUACACCGCUUGUAACACCACAUUUGACAACGACAAAAACUCUUUUUCAAUAUUAAAAUGCGGUUACAAAAUGUCGGAAUGAAAAACUGCCACGGUUCUAUCCUACACGUCUGACUCGAGAAGUAGCCGCAUUUUUUUUUUACUUGAUGGUUUCAUUUAUUUUCGUUGAACAAACAUACAUGGGGGUCGGACCGGUUGUUCGUAAGGUCUUAUAUUAUUGGCCGUAUGUCUUACAAAAUCUUCCACUGAGUUGUUCGCAACGAUUUUGUAAGACGUACGGUGAGAUUGCGCUUACGAGUAUAUUGCACAGAGGGAUUAUAUUGUAUAGGGGAGUGGGGAGGGAGUAGGGAGUUUUAUCUAUCGAUCAAAUUUUAUCGAAAUAUGACGGAAAAAAAAUCUAUGACAAAAUAAAAAUAGGCCCUGAUAAUAGAAUUUUCCGUAAUGAAUUAGUAAACAGUACGCAUUUUACUGCUGCGUCUUUUCCGACCGUUAAAUAGGUACUCGCCGAAUCUAUGACGCGUCCUACUAUCAUAUUUUAAUCAAACGUAUUAGCAGAUAAUGGCGUUGGUUUACAUAUAUCUGUUAAAAUAAAAUUAAUCACCAGCUUAUAGCUUAAUUAUCGUUGCGUCACGAUUACCUAUCUACGUUUGCUCAAGCCAUAUGCGAUAGCCUUUUUUACUGAAUGGACUAGUUAUAUUUAAAUUUCAAUUAUUUAUUUCAGACAUAUUAAGCCCAUAUUAUUUGUUAGUAAUACAAUAAAAUAAGUCUUAAGUUAUAAGCAUUCAAUGACACUAAAUCGACGAAAUCAAAAUCAUAGGCACAUUGUGACCUAAAAAUAUGCAUCGAUAUAUACAAGUUAUUAUAUUUCUUAAACAAAAAUAUCAGUUCUAAUCCUUUUACUGUAAGGAUUGAGGAAUAAGUUUAUAUCUAACAAUUAUCUACAACCUUAAUUACCGCUAUGUGACUAGGAUAAAUAAGUAUUUAAAUAUUUGUAAUAAUAUAUAACUAAUUUUGUGUCAAAUAUUUGGAUUUUGGGCUUAGGAUGUACUCUCGUGGAGCUUAUCUCCACAACAACCGAAAGCCUCUUAAUUUACAGUAUAUUUCGAAGGAUAUCUCACUAAUUAUUUCACAUACAUACAUAUAUAGUUAGAUACUUAGGCCCACUAACCCGGGGUUAAGCGGUUUAACCGUCAACUGAGUGUCAAAUUGUACUGGUAACCAUGGUAACAUCAGGUUUAACCGGGGAAAAGGUUCCACUAUCCCGGUAGUGGAAUGGUGCAAGUGGGCCUAAGAGAGAUAUUUAUAUCACACUAAGAAGUGAAAUAAGCUACAUAUAUAGGAAUGAAACAGUGUCGCAUUUGUUUUGAGUUUCAUUUUUAACACGGGAUAUUCAUAUAGGUAUAUUAUUUGCCUGAAGGGCGUUAGCAGGUUUGAGUCACGAGAUUUAGGUAAAUAAGUUCUAAUUUAACAUCAGCUGCACAAGUUUCUCUGUAGCUGAUUGAUGUAAUACAGAUGUAUGUAUCUUAUGAAAUACGUGCCUUUUUACGCUUCAAACGAAGCGUUUGUUUUGACGUCUAACGACUAGCAUUUAAUGUAAGAUCUAACUUAUUUGAUAUACAGAAUUGGCGCUCCGUGCUAAACUUGCAACUCAAGACAUGGCUAUAGAGCGGAUUUUAAAAUUUUAUUUAAAUUACUCUGAAAAUAUACUUCUGUUUAAAUUUAAAGUCUUGCUCGUCAGAUCCCUCCGCUAUAUUGCUAGUUAUUUCAUACUAAAAUAAUACCGCUUUGGUAUGCAGAGUAAAGACAUACAACUGAAAAUGAAAAUUAUACAUGUUAUCGUGAUUUUUUUUCUAACAAGCCAACUUGAAGUUUUGGUUGGGGUCUGAUUAAAACGGUUAAUAAUUCUAUAUAAAAACUACAAUUCUACAUUAUCUCAUCAUCUUUAGUUUUCAUUGUAUCGUAUUUAACUUUAAAUGAUCAUUUAGGAUCUAGACCGAUUUAAUGUUUAUAGCUGUUGGAUUUUUUUUUAUUUGUCUGUAUCUUUUUAAAUGCUAGUCGUUAUGAAGGCGUGGUUGUGAUGGUGUUUGCGUGAAGACGUGUUUGUUAUUGCCUGAUUGAAUAGUAUAUUUUAUUAUGUUGGGCGUUGUUGUUAAAAUGUUUUGUUAUCAUAUUUAGCCUUAGAGAAUAUAACCAAACGGAGUGGCCAUUAACAGGCGUUCCCCUCUGUCGAAAAUAGGCGGCCAAUGGUCAACCACAUGUAUGGACUGACGUUUAUCUGACAUGACGUACCUAUACAUUUGAUGUGCCCCUCCCCCGCAGAAAACGGCAGACUACUGUGUACCGAAAAUUAUAGACAUGGCGUCUCCGUUGGUUAUAUCCUCUAAGUAUUUAGCGGUAACGCCCACAGUACAUAAUUUUCUUAAAUUAAAUAAAAAUUACGUUGGUUAUCUAUAAAAUUGACUGGGUACCUAUGUACUUCCGCGCGUUUCAAUUAUUUUAAAUGAAAACAGAAGUGUUUGUUUAUAUAGUAUUUGUAAUACAUACGCAAUUGUAGAAUUAUUUUUGUUUUUGACAACUUUGUUUAAUAUCUAAGCGAGAUUAUGUGUAUGCUAUCCGUAUGAUAGCUUAUAAUUAGGAUAAUUAUUGGAAUCUUAUUUAUAAUAAUCAUACGUAUGUAUGUAAUUAAUUGUACUUUAGUGAUAAGGAUAUCCAAAAUUGUAAGGUGAACACCAAUUAGUUUAAGAUUUUAUAGCCGGCCGUAUUUAAUAUAGAGGCAUUCGAAAGUAGGACCUAAAAUAUAAUAAUUAUGACAAAUUACACUUUUGAACGUGCGUAUAUUCCUAGCAAUUAACAUUUUAUUCUUUGGUAACCCGCUGGUUCCCUAAAGAGGCCCACAGAUUACCAGUUCGCCGGAUGAUAUCAGCCUGUCAGUUAGUCGCAAAAGGUACAGGACCACCACAAAAGGUUCCCAACCACUGACAGGCUGAUAUCGUCCGGCCAACUGGUAAUCAGUGAGCAGCGUAUAAUAUUUUUAUUUUUAAUUUAAAAGGACGUUUUCAAACACGUGCUCUGUAACUAGGGAAUCCAGCGUGUUCCGAAUGGGUUAUAUAUAGGAUAAGAUGCAGGAUUAAAAGUUUACUGUAAAUUACUUUAUAGGUAUAUGUCCUCUAUUCUCUAAGAUUAUAUGUGACGUUCCACAGGUAAUGGCCAUUGGCGCUUACGCUAUUAUUAACGCCGCUCCAAUAUUAUUGCGGCGCUAUGCGACGGAAGCGCCAGCCGCUAUAAGGUACCUUUUGCCGUGAAACGUCACAUAUUAUGGUGCGGCGCGAUCCAAUUGUUUUGAGAUUAUUUAUUUAUUUGUCAGAAUUGAUUGUGUAAAAUGACGCACCGCAUCACCACGCCCGAUGGACUGAGGUGUAUUCAUCGUAGUAAUAUUAUGUCUGUAAAUAAAUACAGUUUUAACACGUCAAACCUGCUUAUAUAAUACAGAAAUUCCGUUAUCGGAUAAGAUCAAGUUCUUAAUAUUACCGUGUUGCACCGAGGUUUUGCCUGAGUUUGUAAUAGGUACAUAACAGUGGCGGCGCGUCCAUAAAAGCCGAUUCCCACCGGCUUGCCUGUUGUUUGCCUUUGGACGUUUGAGCAGAGUUGUAAACGAAAUAUGUAAGCCAAAUUAGCCCCGGCUUGCCUAUGGAUAGGAUUUGACGCGCCGCCACUGGUACAUAAUAUAAUAUUAUAUACUUGAUCGUAGUGGUUUUUAAGGAACAUGCAUAGAAAUAUGCACCAGAUAAAAACAUCCCAGUGCUUGGCACAUGCUUUCUCUCCAUGUACAAAAAAUGUUGGUAUAUAAGUACCAGACGUAGACAGGUUUCCUCAUUAGAUUUUCCAUUACCGAAAGCAACAAGUAAAACUGUUAUUAAAAUUAUUCAAUAUACAGUGCGAUGAAUAAAUCUCGGUAAACACACCUCAGUCAGAUCUAGAUUAAGUAUCCAUUCGUAAGUUAUAUUAAUCGUUAUGGAGUUUCAACCUGCCAAAUAUACUGUAAGAACUACGUACGCACCCUUAAAAGUAUAGAACACUGUCUGGUAAUAUCUAAACCUAAACAAUACGAUUUGAACACUAACUUUUCAUAUUUACCACUAAGCCAGCCAGCCCUAGAGAAAACUAGCGAAACUUACAAAAUCAGCUUUAGGUAUCCUUACUAUCCUUCUUGUAACAACUGCUUAAGUAAGAAUAUUCCGUACCUAUACAUUUUUCGGCUAAUCGAAACUAUUAAUUAGACACAUAUUACUCUAACUAUUAAUUGGUAGCUGUUUUAAUCAAUGAAAAAAUAAGAAAAAAGGUUAAUUUAGCUCAGCAGCUACGGAUCAAUAAUCUUGACCCUUCCAUAUAUCGGGUGUGGCCUGUAAUAUGAGCAAAAAAUUUAACUGUAGGCUGUACUCCUCAUACUGAUCAACAUUUGUUCAGCGAAUUUUUGAAAAUAACUUGUGGCUUGAUUUUUAAUACACUUAAAGUUUAUUCUAAGACGCAAUGUAUUACGAAUUUUGUUAUGUUUAAGGCGUGACAAGCAACGUCAAUCACAAUGACAAUAUGGCGUCCAUUGAAGAUAAUAUUUAUUUUGUAUGAAAAAUAGGGAGUCUAAAUAGUUAAUAAUUUUUUAAAGUUGUUGUACAAAAGUGUCACCGUUUGAGGAGUACAUUCUAUGUUUAAAUUUUUUGCUUUUGUUACAGGGCACACCCGGUAUUGUUUUUUUUUUGUAUUUAUUAAACGUGUAAGUACCGUGUCUAUUACUUCAGGCAAAUAUCUCAAUUAUUAGUUAUUUCUAGUACAGUCCAGUGUAACAAUAUGCUGCUCACAUGUUAUUCAAAAAUAUUUCUCAUCUUGCUCUUGUGUCGAGGAAUGAGGAGGAGGAUUAGAAUUAUGGGACAUUUUUAAUUUGUAUGCGCCCAUAUUUUUACACUUGACCUGACAUGAUUAUUAUGUAAAUAAAUAAUACGUAGAUUUAAUCAUCAUAAAAUGAAAGCUUUAUUAGUGUAGGCCUUGUAGACGCAUUACAUAGUUGUUAAUGAAGUUAAAAGGUAUCAUAUUCUAUAGAUUAAGAUAUAAAUCAGUGCCUAGAAUAGUUUUUCUUUCAGUUUAGUAUUUUUUAAUAUUUAUUUUUGUACUAUAUUUUUGGUUUUGUUGUGUAUUUAUCGUUGUAAGCUGUUUUGAAUCAUAUAAAUCAAUUAGAUUGAGUAUAAUAAAUCAUUAGGUGAGUAAUAGAUUUGUUGGUCUGAAAAGUUUUCCUGUUAUGUGUGGUAGACUUACGCAGUAUGCACAGACAGCUAUAGAGUGCAGAGACAGUUGAAGUAUUGUCAAACUCUAUUGUCAGUAGAGUAUGCGUUGAUUAUUUUGAGUACUUCGUCCCUGUAGAUACUUCAGCUGCCGGCUGUACUUCUACGAUUCUUUAGACAUAGUACGGUUCAUCAUUAUUGCGUCAAAAGUAUCUACCAUCCUCUGAUAAUUUACAUGAUAGUAGUGAUGGUCUACUUUAAAUCGGAACAGACUCUUUUUUUUAAAUUAAGCUGUUAGAGAAUGACGGUUCAGUAAUACAUAUACGUAUGGUGUCCAAAACAUCACUGACGAAAAUGUAGUGCCUAGAAACAUAUCGGUGCCUUCAAACUACCUACUUUUCUUAUGAUUAACUUUGUCAAUGGGAUAUUAUCAGAAUGUGUGUCAGAUGACACUAAUGUGAGCUCUAGUUUGGCGACUCCAAGACGUAACUCACUAAAAUAUACGUAGAACCCAGGUGUCUGUUAGAAGGAAGAAUGAUACUGCGCAACCUUGGCUUUCUUACCUUCGUGUAAAUUAAGCUGUAUCUCACCGUUUUUCAAGUAAAAGGUACCACAUUGCCCGUUGUCGAUAAGGUUGAUUUCAAAAAAGCUUUAUGGAAAUAGCGUCUUAUUAGGUACAAGCGACAAUAAAUACUCUUGUACUCGACACAAUGUUUCCUCUGCCUUAUUAUAAUUCAAAUGUUUUCCAUGAAAGUUUUUUUUAUAAAGCCAGUUUUUAAUGUUUUUGAUACAUAUUUCUUUUAGUUAGGUAAUUUUACAAAAUGUUAAGUAAAUGUUAAGAUUGAUAUAUUGUCUUGUCUUGGUCCGUUUGUACAAUGUAUGGAUUAUAAGAAUCCUUCCCACCACUCGUGUAAGCGUAAUUUAUUCUAAAUCAAUGCUUGCUUUACGUAUCGUUAAGGAUCUUUGUAUUAAUAACCAAAGCGUUAACAACAGCCAUAAUUUUGGAUUUGUGAGUUGUAUACAUACCUACAGAUGUAUCUAUUUGUUUAGUCCCGGUAGUUAAAGGCAUUAAUGAGUUUGAAACUUUUUGGUGGCGCCAUAUGCGCUUAAAUACAUUAAACGAUCCAUCCAUUGUAGUAACUUUCGGGUUUUUUUUUGUUUUUGCUGUGUGUAAACCUGUAAAUCCCAUAUAUGGUAAUUCGCCAGUAACUGGCCACCUUAUACUAAACCGCAUCCAAUUCAUUUCUAGUUUAGGGCGGUCAGUUACUGGCGAUUUACCCUAAUUUUUUUUUUGUUUUCGGUUAUCACCCGACGAAUUUGCCGCCUAAGACUUGUGUAAUUUUACAAAUGACUUAACAAGUGAUCUAGAACCGAGGGUCUAGCCAAGAUGACAAUCAUACAUCGACAAACGCCAACAAAAAGAAAAAAAUGUAUCGGGAUGCUACGAAAAGUCACGUGACUAUUUCAUACUUUAUUUAAGUUUUCAUUGACGUUUCUAUUAACGAUUGUCGUCGUGUGUGUGUGCUAGGCCCUCAAGGUGCCUAGCUAAGAUGCCAAUCGUUUACGUCGUAGCGAACGAUAAGCUAACGUCUCUCUAUUAUGUCGCACCACAUAAUAGUACAACUGAUACCUAGUUAUAGACAAACAUUAGUUUCGUUCAUGGCGCAAACGAUUGGCAUCUUGGCUAGGCCCUCUGAUCUAUUUAUUCCGCCGAUGCCAAGUAAGUGAAGCAGGCUGUUGGCUAACCGUUACAUUCCAAUUGAAUUAAGUACCAAAGGACUUUAAUUUUGAGAUCUAUAUCUUACCUCAAUCGUGUCUUUCUUGUUGUGCAUAAAUUCAACAAAUACAUCAUUAUUUUAAUGUGA